rnacentral:rRNA from 1 species
UCCCGUUGAUCCUGCGGGAGGUCGCUGCUAUCAGAAUUCGACUUAACUAAGCUAGUUCAGGGGCUCUUCGGAGCACCGGCAGACAGUUCCAUAACACGUCGAUAAUCUAACCUUGCGUCAGGGAUAGCCUUGGGAAACUGAGGGUAACACCUGAUAUGAGAAAAAUACUGGAAUGUAUUUUCUUUCAAAGGCAACGCGCAAGGAUGAGUCGGCGUCCGAUUAGAUUGUUGGUGGGGUAACGGCCCACCAAGUCAAAGAUCGGUAGGGGCCUUGGGAGAGGUAGCCUCGAGGAGGACACUGAGAUAAGGGUCCUGACUCUACGGAGUAUAGCAAGUGCGAAAACUUUACAAUACACGAAAGUGUGAUAAGGGGAUUCUGAGUGCUUAUGCUCUGCAUAAGCUUUUGCCAAGUGUAAAAAGCUUGGAGAAUAAGUGGUGGGCAAGACUGGUGCCAGCAGCCGCGGUAACACCAGCGCCACAAGUGGGGGCCAGCAUUAUUGGGCUUAAAGCGUUCGUAGUCGGUUUGGUAAAUCUUUUGUGAAAUUGUUGGGCUCAACCCAACGUCGUGCAGAAGACACUACCAGACUAGAGACCGGGAGGGGUUAUGAAGUAUUUGCGGGGUAGCGGUAAAAUGCUAUAAUCCCGUGAGGACUACCAGUAGCGAAGGCGUCUAACCAGAACGGGUCUGACGAUGAGGAACGAAAGCCAGGGGAGCGAACCGGAUUAGAUACCCGAGUAGUCCUGGCCGUAAACGCUGCGAGUUAGGUGUUGCAUAUUCUCCGUGAAUAUGCAGUGUCGGAGCGAAAGCGUUAAACUCGCCGCCUGGGAAGUACGGUCGCAAGACUGAAACUUAAAGGAAUUGGCGGGGGAGCACAACAAGGGGUGCGGCGUGCGGUUUAAUCCAACUCAACGCGGAGAAUCUCACCAGAGGCGACGGCAGGAUGAAGGUCAGCCUGAAGGGCUUACCCAACGAGCCGAGAGGUGGUGCAUGGCCGUCGUCAGCUCGUGCCGUGAGGUGUCCUGUUGUCAGGCAACGAGCGAGACCUGUACCUACAAUUGCCAGCAACACUUUAUGUGGAUUGGGCACAUUGUAGGGACUGCCUUGGAAACAAGGAGGAAGGUGCAGGCAACGGUAGGUCUGUAUGCCCCGAAUCCUCUGGGCUACACGCGCGCAACAAUGGUAAGGACAAAAGGAUACGACUCCGAAAGGAGAAGUUAACCCUCUAAACCUUAUCUCAGUCCAGAUUGAGGAUUGUAACUCAUCCUCAUGACGCUGGAAUCCCUAGUAAUCAGAUUUUAGCAUAAUCUGGUGAAUAUGUCCCUGCUCCUUGCACACACCGCCCGUCAAACCAACCGAGCAGGGUUUUGGUAAACGCAAUUCUUUAAAUUGUGUGAAUCAGAGCUCAGUGAGGUGGGUUAAGUCGUCACAAGGUA